rnacentral:rRNA from 1 species
UUGGGCGUAAAGCGAGCGCAGGCGGUUUCUUAAGUCUGAUGUGAAAGCCCCCGGCUCAACCGGGGAGGGUCAUUGGAAACUGGGAGACUUGAGUGCAGAAGAGGAGAGUGGAAUUCCAUGUGUAGCGGUGAAAUGCGUAGAUAUAUGGAGGAACACCAGUGGCGAAGGCGGCUCUCUGGUCUGUAACUGACGCUGAGGCUCGAAAGCGUGGGGAGCGAACAGGAUUAGAUACCCUGGUAGUCCACGCCGUAAACGAUGAGUGCUAAGUGUUGGAGGGUUUCCUCUUUUUUUUGCUGCAGCAAACGCAUUAAGCACUCCGCCUGGGGAGUACGACCGCAAGGUUGAAACUCAAAGGAAUUGACGGGGGCCCCCACAAGCGGUGGAGCAUGUGGUUUA